rnacentral:rRNA from 1 species
GUGGCAAGCGAGGUAGGAGUCGCGUUGGCAAAUCCGCGUGACAAUCCGAAGACGUGAUGCAUACCGAACUAAAGUAGGGAAAUGUGUGAGCCAGCUGCCAAGAAAAGCCGCUAUUGUUUGUACUGUACCCGUACCGUAAACCGACACAGGUAGGUGAGGAGAGAAUCCUAAGGCCGACGGGAGAAGCAUUGUUAAGGAACUCGGCAAAAUGACUCCGUAACUUCGGGAGAAGGAGUGCCAGUGAGAGCUGGCCGCAGAGAAUUGGCCCAAGCAACUGUUUAGCAAAAACACAGGUCUAUGCAAAACCGUAAGGUGAAGUAUAUGGGCUGACGCCUGCCCGGUGCUGGAAGGUUAAGGGGAGAGGUUAGCGCAAGCGAAGCUUUGAACUUAAGCCCCAGUAAACGGCGGCCGUAACAAUAACGGUCCUAAGGUAGCGAAAUUCCUUGUCGGGUAGGUUCCGACCCGCACGAAAGGCGUAAUGAUUUGGGCACUGUCUCAACAAUGCACCCGGUGAAAUUGAAAUACCAGUGAAGAUGCUGGUUACCUGCGCCAGGACGGAAAGACCCCAUGGAGCUUUACUCCAGCUUGAUACUGGGAUUCGAUAUUGUAUGUACAGGAUAGGUGGGAGGCGAAGAAGCAUUGACGCCAGUUGAUGCGGAGCCGCUGUUGGGAUACCACCCUUGCAGUAUUGGAUUUCUAACCAGCAGCCGUGACCCGGCUGGGGGACAAAGUCAGGUGGGGAGUUUGACGGGGGCGGUCGCCUCCGAAAGGGUAUCGGAGGCGCUCAAAGGUUCCCUCAGAAUGGUUGGAAACCAUUCGAAGAGUGCAAAGGCAGAAGGGAGCUUGACUGCGACACCGACGGGUGGAGCAGGUACGAAAGUAGGACUUAGUGAUCCGGUGGUAUAAAGUGGGAUUGCCAUCGCUCAACGGAUAAAAGCUACCCUGGGAUAACAGGCUUAUCACUCCCAAGAGUUCACAUCGACGGAGUGGUUUGGCACCUCGAUGUCGGCUCAUCGCAUCCUGGGGCUGAAGUAGGUCCCAAGGGUUGGGCUGUUCGCCCAUUAAAGCGGUACGCGAGCUGGGUUCAGAACGUCGUGAGACAGUUCGGUCCCUAUCCGGCGUGUGCGUAGGAUAUUUGAGAGGAGCUGGCCUUAGUACGAGAGGACCGGGCUGGACUGACCGCUGGUGUAUCUGUUGUUCCGCCAGGAGCAUGGCAGAGUAGCCAAGUCAGGAAGGGAUAAACGCUGAAGGCAUCUAAGCGUGAAGCCCCCCUCAAGAUGAGAUAUCCCAACGCAAGUUGUAAGACCCCUUGAAGACGACAAGGUAGAUAGGGCAGAGGUGGAAGUGCAGUAAUGCAUGGAGCUGACUGUUACUAAUCGGUCGAGGGCAUAACCG